GAGACAUAAAUUAAGGCGCCGCCUCAUUAACGUUCUUUCCUCCUCGUUGCGCUGGAUGGUGAAGGAGUUUCCCCUGCAGUGGAACCAGAGAGCAGCGUUUUUAGGAGCUGGAAAUCCGGAAAGAAUCUGCUUAUGUUCCUCAAGGUGGGACAUCAGGACUUCACUAGCUGGGAUGGGCCAACUCCAGUCCUCCAGGUCUGGCCAAUAGCUUAGCUGCUAAUGCGCCGACAGAUUCAGUGCUUUAGCAGCUGAGCUACUGGCAAAUGAAUGUACUCUAAAUAUUGUCUGUUUUAAUGUAUUUGGAGACCCUGAUGAGGGGGAAAUGGCUGCUCUCUAAUAAAGAAUAAACUAAAAA